rnacentral:rRNA from 1 species
CCUAGGGAGGCUGCAGUGGGGAAUAUUGCACAAUGGGGGAAACCCUGAUGCAGCGACGCCGCGUGAGCGAAGAAGUAUUUCGGUAUGUAAAGCUCUAUCAGCAGGGAAGAAAAUGACGGUACCUGAGUAAGAAGCUCCGGCUAAAUACGUGCCAGCAGCCGCGGUAAUACGGAGGAUGCGAGCGUUAUCCGGAUUUAUUGGGUUUAAAGGGUGCGCAGGCGGAAGAUCAAGUCAGCGGUAAAAUUGAGAGGCUCAACCUCUUCGAGCCGUUGAAACUGGUUUUCUUGAGUGAGCGAGAAGUAUGCGGAAUGCGUGGUGUAGCGGUGAAAUGCAUAGAUAUCACGCAGAACUCCGAUUGCGAAGGCAGCAUACCGGCGCUCAACUGACGCUCAUGCACGAAAGUGUGGGUAUCGAACAGGAUUAGAUACCCCUGUAGUC